rnacentral:tRNA from 1 species
UUAAAUGAUACCAAAAAGAGGUUUAUCACUGUUAAUGAUAUAAUGAAUAAAAAUUCCAUUUAAA